rnacentral:rRNA from 1 species
AAAGCGUGCGCAGGCGGUUAUGUAAGACAGAUGUGAAAUCCCCGGGCUCAACCUGGGAACUGCAUUAGUGACUGCAUAGCUGGAGUACGGCAGAGGGGGAUGGAAUUCCGCGUGUAGCAGUGAAAUGCGUAGAUAUGCGGAGGAACACCGAUGGCGAAGGCAAUCCCCUGGGCCUGUACUGACGCUCAUGCACGAAAGCGUGGGGAGCAAACAGGAUUAGAUACUCUGGU